GGCUGACACACAUUUAAAAAGAUCUUUUCCAUCCUCAUUACAGACAUGGUUCAGAACUGUGAAGCAGAAUACAAAGUCUCAAAACAACUGUCAUGAACUCCAGGUUUUGAUCAUUUCAAGGAAAACUUAAGUCUGCACAUGAGCCUUCCUUUGUCUUAAUGAAAUUUGUGCUGCCUGGGCUGUCAUAAGAUUGACUAGAACAGCCUUGUGCUAUAAUGAGGCCCAUAUGCCUCAAUAAAGAGGCUUUGCAUGUAGCACUUCUGAAAACAAUACUCUUGGUUUAUUAUUAAAUUGAAAAAUCUUUCCUGGAAAAUAGCAGUCUGGGGGGAAGCUGUCUGAGCUGUUCAGUGGAACUGCAAAGGUGGUGGUUUUGUUUCUGCUCAGCUGCCACACCCAGCUCCACCAGGUGAAGAAACUUGCCUCUGGUCGAUCACCUGCUGUGGAAUCAAAGUCUACAACUUGCCACUAUGCUCCUAACUCCCCAAAGUGGAGUCACAUGGAUGUGGUUGAACAACCUCAGCUUGCAAGUAUGUGGUCGGAGAUGCCGGCUUAGCACCUGCAUGUAAAUCUUGUUUGCUGGACAGAACAAAGAGUGAUUGACUUCACAAGAUACAGAGAUGGUUCUAGUUGGGCAAAACAACAAACUCUGAACCCAGAUUACAAAGUAUGUAUAAAGAAAGGAAAUUAAGGGGCGAGGGGAUACCUACUGGGUGGGAUGGCUGUUAGGCAAAUUGAGAAGAAUGUGAACACUGAGUACCCCAGCCAGCAGGGAGAGGGGGAGGGACUCACUAGCAUUGGGGUACAGGGAUAAAGGAGGGGUUGUGUCCCCCAGUACUUUGAGAGAUCCAUUGCGUUAUGCCCCAGUGGACUCUCCCUUGAUUCAAACAAAGCAGACAGCACAGCCUGCCGCAGGUGCUCUCAGCGGUGACCCCAGCAGGCCGCAGCGGGAGGGGCGGGCGUCUGUCCUGCUCGGCGCCGCGCUCCCGCCUUUCUGAGUUGCCGGGAUGGCGGCGGUUGGCGUGUGGUGUGUGACAGGGCCGUGGCGGCCGCUGCUGCCAGAACAUGUGCAGCAGGAGAGCGGGGAUCUUGUCUAUGGUAGGAAAAGGGGAAGCAAGGUUAAAAGAAUGAAGCCAGCAAAGGAAAAAAGUAGUGCUUUGGGCGGAUUUGGUGUGAAAGUUCCUUGGUUUGGAAAUCAUCUUGCAAAGACUGUGGGAAAUGCUGCCCUAUGUGAGGUUCUAAACUGGCAGGCAGAGUACCUUUGUGCAUGAUGCGGAAACAUCAUUGUUACUUCACAGGCUGCUGGGAACACACUGAAGGCAAAUGGAUCAGACUGAGGAUGGUAUGCUGCUGGAAGAUACAGAUCAGAAGCAGUCAUCUUCUGUGGGCUGGAAAGUGAGAACUGUAACAGUAUAAAAACCAUUUGUAGGCUUUCUGUGCUCAUCUCCUUUAUCCUCAGGGUUGUUUUGAUGUGCUUUUUCCCCCCUUGUUGAUGUUUUCUUGCCUAGGUACCUCUACAGUACCAAAUCAUUAUUUUUAUAUUGUUAUACCAAAAUGCUCUUUCCUAUAUGCAGUGGACCUGCCAGAAUGAGAAGAUAUGCCAGGCUUUAAUGGAAUGAUGCUUUGCAAGAAAAUACAGAGAAUUUUUUUUUUAAGCAUCACAAGUACGUUUGUGCUGAAUAGUUGUAGCAAAAAGAAAAAAAAAUACUACCAGCAUCUACAGCAGUUGAACAUUUCAUGAUCAAUAUUUAGCAUAUGAAUAAUGUUUUAAUUACUGUCAUUUGUUCCUAUUCUUGAAAAGAAAGAGGUAUUUGUUUAUGCUUUAAAUCAAAAAGAUGAAUUUGUUUGUUUCUCAUUUGUCCUGUGUGCAUCAGUGUGUUUGAUGAGAAUACUGGUAAGAUCCAGGUGUCUUAAUCUGCUUUGUCCUUUACAUUACAUGCUCUUUAAUAAAUGUUUAUCUUAAUAGAA
ensembl:lncRNA